rnacentral:rRNA from 1 species
UACGAAGGGGGGCUAGCGUUGCUCGGAAUCACUGGGCGUAAAGCGCACGUAGGCGGAUUGUUAAGUCGGGGGUGAAAUCCUGGAGCUCAACUCCAGAACUGCCUUCGAUACUGGCGAUCUCGAGUUCGGGAGAGGUGAGUGGAACUGCGAGUGUAGAGGUGAAAUUCGUAGAUAUUCGCAAGAACACCAGUGGCGAAGGCGGCUCACUGGCCCGAUACUGACCGCUGAGGUGCGAAAGCGUGGGGAGCAAACAGGAUU